UACGAAGGGGGGCGAGCGUUGUUCGGAUUUACUGGGCGUAAAGGGCGCGCAGGCGGUCAUUUUUGUCGAGUGUGAAAGCCCCGGGCUUAACCUGGGAACUGCGCUCGAAACGGGAUGACUAGAGAUCGGGAGAGGAGAGUGGAAUUCCCAGUGUAGAGGUGAAAUUCGUAGAUAUUGGGAAGAACACCGGUGGCGAAGGCGGCGAUCUGGACGAUGACUGACGCUGGAGACGCGAAAGCCGUGGGGAGCAAACAGG
rnacentral:rRNA from 1 species